AGCAGGUGCAGACAGGAGGCAUCGAUGGAGGCAGGGAAGAUGAGUGGGGCAGGCUUGUCAGUCAGAAAAAUGGGAGGCCUCAACAGCAGAGCGGGCUCUGCCACUCACCCCCCUUCUCAAAGUACUAAGAACAAACUGAAACCGGCGAAACCAGAGCUUAAAUCAGGAACUUUGAAGAUGGAAUAAAGACUUGGGAAAAAAAUAUGGAUUAUCAAGAAGCAACUCAGAGAUCUCCCACGACCUAAUGCACCCUCUGGCAACAUCAUUCAGCAAGUGAUGAAGAACUACAUUUAUAUUUUUGAACUGCAAUAGCAGAUUAUCAAACAGAAGCCAGUGCCUGGGAAGAGUUGCAGAGGCAGAAAAACACUUUUUAGGGCUUUGCUGCUCGCAUAUUUUGGAUUGAUAACGAAUGCCAGACUUAAACCCUAGCAGGCCUCCUAGUCCUUGCUAUUGCAAAUUGAUUGCUUCUUUGCAUACAUAAAACUUGAAAUUAAUUUAUUGUACCUGAAGUGCUUUGAGACAUUGUGAAAGACUUGUAUAUAAAUGUGAGACUUUCUUUUGCCUUCACUAGGAACUCCAUUUAUUGGUGGGGCCCGAGAACCUGGGUAUGGGCUUUAGAUUUCAUUCAAAUUAGAGCGCGUGCUAUAGAAGGAAGCCAUGCAGAUCAGUGAUGGAAAUUCAUUUAAGUAUUGGAAAUAUGUAAUGGAAGCAGCCACAGGCACGUGACUAGUAAGGGGGUGAUUGCAGACUUGUGGCACAGGUGCCUGGAGGCCAGGGAUGUUGGAGGUGAGGGAGGUCAGGGGUUAUGGGGAGAGGGAAAUUGAAAGCUGAGAGCCUGAACUUGAGGGAGAAAGUGAAACUGGAAGUUGGGACCAAACAGAGUGGGGGAGGGGAGAAGGGGAUUGGAGAUUGGAGUAUGGAGGCCAGUGCCUGGAGGCUGAGUGUCAGAGAUCUCAGAGGGCCUAGAAACAGCAGUGAUUGGAAUGAUGCUUUACAGAUAAGUGCUUAGCUUUUUCAUUCAGGUGAAUUUAAGGUUUACUUCCCUGAGUGUAGCCAGCAAUGCCACUGGACCUGAGCAAGCAUUAGGCCCAUUAUUUCCAUUUGCAAAGAUUCUAAUGGUUGCAUCAUGCAUAGAUAAAGCCCUUGUUUGUCUGUACACAAUAUGGCAGGUGGUGGACUUCUGGUCAGCAGAGCGGAUGUGCUUCCUGCCCAACGUUUAAAUAACUUAGAUGCAAAGUGCUUGAGAAACAGAAACAAUUAACUCAAUUCCUUGGGCAGCAUCACAAACAACAGCAACAGGCAAUUGAAAAAUAGUCACACUUUAACAAUUUGAAACAUCCCAAUCAGUUCUUCGUAAAUAUUUUAUGUGGCUUCCCCUCUGAGAAUCCUCUAAGUACAGUGUGAAUUGCUAAAUGACAUAUUCAAGGUUUCUUAUGCAUAAUAACUGACCUAUAAAAAGUUGCCAUUUAAGCUUGAUCAGUUUUAGUUCGAAGUUGUCUUUGUGUAUUAAAAAUUAACGAUCGUUGAAGAACAAAUACCACCAGAUUCAUAAUGAUUAUGAGAUAAUUACUGCAUAGGAUGUGUGUAAAUAUAUGAUGCAUUGAAUUUAUAUUUUUUGCCUUACACUGUAAAGAUUUGGAAUUAUAAAACAGAAAAUAUUCAUUUAAAAUAAAGUCCUGCCAGUGCCAUUGCA